UUCGUAAACUCACUUCCAGGUGUCUGGAAACGGUUGCAAGUCCGUGAAAAGAGCGAGCACGAA
rnacentral:ribozyme from 2 species